UGAAAUAAACCUGAUGGGUUGUUGCUGGUUCUCUAGGGAGCAUGUGCACGCCUUGUCAUCUUUAUAUCUCCACCUGUGCACCUUCUGUAGGCCCUGGAAUAUCUCUUCCAUGGGUCUAUGUUUCUUCAUAUACCCCAAUGUAUGUUAACAGAACGUUUGUGAUAUAUAAAAUCUAUACAACUUUCAGCAACGGAUCUCUUGGCUCUCGCAUCGAUGAAGAACGCAGCGAAAUGCGAUAAGUAAUGUGAAUUGCAGAAUUCAGUGAAUCAUCGAAUCUUUGAACGCACCUUGCGCUCCUUGGUAUUCCGAGGAGCAUGCCUGUUUGAGUGUCAUUAAUAUAUAUCAACCACUUCUUGUUGAGUGGCUUGGAUGUGGGGGGUUUGCUGGCCUUGGUGAAAGGUCCACUCCCCUGAAAUUCAUUAACAAAACCCACCUGGUCAAUGGUGGGAUAACUAUCUACCCUAUUUGAAAGGGUAAGGGAGUUCAACUUCCUAACCGGCCUUUUGGACCAAUUUAUCACUUAUGGGACCUCCAAUCCGGGAAGACUACCCCCUGAACUUAA
rnacentral:rRNA from 1 species